rnacentral:rRNA from 1 species
GAUGAACGCUGGCGGCGUGCCUAAUACAUGCAAGUCGAGCGAACAGACGAGGAGCUUGCUCCUCUGACGUUAGCGGCGGACGGGUGAGUAACACGUGGAUAACCUACCUAUAAGACUGGGAUAACUUCGGGAAACCGGAGCUAAUACCGGAUAAUAUAUUGAACCGCAUGGUUCAAUAGUGAAAGACGGUUUUGCUGUCACUUAUAGAUGGAUCCGCGCCGCAUUAGCUAGUUGGUAAGGUAACGGCUUACCAAGGCAACGAUGCGUAGCCGACCUGAGAGGGGGGUCGGCCAACCUGAACUGAGACACGGUCCAGACUCCUACGGGAGGCAGCAGUAGGGAAUCUUCCGCAAUGGGCGAAAGCUUGACGGAGCAACGCCGCGUGAGUGAUGAAGGUCUUCGGAUCGUAAAACUCUGUUAUUAGGGAAGAACAAAUGUGUAAGUAACUAUGCACGUCUUGACGGUACCUAAUCAGAAAGCCACGGCUAACUACGUG